rnacentral:rRNA from 1 species
AACGAACGCUGGCGGCAUGCCUAACACAUGCAAGUCGAACGAGACCUUCGGGUCUAGUGGCGCACGGGUGCGUAACGCGUGGGAACCUGCCCUUAGGUUCGGAAUAACUCCCCGAAAGGGGUGCUAAUACCGGAUAAUGUCUUCGGACCAAAGAUUUAUCGCCUUUGGAUGGGCCCGCGUUGGAUUAGCUAGUUGGUAGGGUAAAAGCCUACCAAGGCGACGAUCCAUAGCUGGUCUGAGAGGAUGAUCAGCCACACUGGGACUGAGACACGGCCCAGACUCCUACGGGAGGCAGCAGUGGGGAAUAUUGGACAAUGGGCGAAAGCCUGAUCCAGCAAUGCCGCGUGAGUGAUGAAGGACUUAGGGUUGUAAAGCUCUUUUACCCGGGAUGAUAAUGACAGUACCGGGAGAAUAAGCUCCGGCUAACUCCGU